UGAGCAAUCUGCCCUUCUCAUCGGAAUAAGCGUUGGAAACGACGUCUAAUGCCGAAUACGACCUCCUUUCGCAUGAUCGGAGGUGGAAAGCUCCGGCGGAGAAGGAUGAGCUCGCGGCCUAUCAGCUAGUUGGUGUGGGUAACGCCGCCCAACGAGGCGACGG
rnacentral:rRNA from 1 species